rnacentral:rRNA from 1 species
GCAUGUUCACAUGAUUAAAGGUAUUCCGGUAGACGAUGGGGAUGCGUUCCAUUAGAUAGUAGGCGGGGUAACGGCCCACCUAGUCUUCGAUGGAUAGGGGUUCUGAGAGGAAGGUCCCCCACAUUGGAACUGAGACACGGUCCAAACUCCUACGGGAGGCAGCAGUGAGGAAUAUUGGUCAAUGGGCGAGAGCCUGAACCAGCCAAGUAGCGUGAAGGAUGACUGCCCUAUGGGUUGUAAACUUCUUUUAUAAAGGAAUAAAGUCGGGUAUGCAUACCUGUUUGCAUGUACUUUAUGAAUAAGGAUCGGCUAACUCCGUGCCAGCAGCCGCGGCAAUACGGAGGAUCCGAGCGUUAUCCGGAUUUAUUGGGUUUAAAGGGAGCGUAGAUGGAUGUUUAAGUCAGUUGUGAAAGUUUGCGGCUCAACCGUAAAAUUGCAGUUGAUACUGGAUAUCUUGAGUGCAGUUGAGGCAGGCGGAAUUCGUGGUGUAGCGGUGAAAUGCUUAGAUAUCACGAAGAACUCCGAUUGCGAAGGCAGCCUGCUAAGCUGCAACUGACAUUGAGGCUCGAAAGUGUGGGUAUCAAACAGGAUUAGAUACCCUGGUAGUCCACACGGUAAACGAUGAAUACUCGCUGUUUGCGAUAUACAGCAAGCGGCC